UGGGGAAUCUUCCGCAAUGGACGAAAGUCUGACGGAGCAACGCCGCGUGAGUGAAGACGGCCUUCGGGCUGUAAAGCUCUGUGAUCCGGGACGAAAGAGCCUGAGGUAAAUAGCCUAAGGAAGUGACGGUACCGGAAAAGCAAGCCACGGCUAACUACGUGCCAGCAGCCGCGGUAAUACGUAGGGGGCUAGCGUUGUCCGGAAUCACUGGGCGUAAAGGGUUCGCAGGCGGAAAUGCAAGUCAGGUGUAAAAGGCAGUAGCUUAACUACUGUAAGCAUUUGAAACUGCAUAUCUUGAGAAGAGUAGAGGUAAGUGGAAUUUUUAGUGUAGCGGUGAAAUGCGUAGAUAUUAAAAAGAAUACCGGUGGCGAAGGCGACUUACUGGGCUCAUUCUGACGCUGAGGAACGAAAGCGUGGGUAGCAAACAGG
rnacentral:rRNA from 1 species